rnacentral:rRNA from 1 species
GGUUAAGCGACUAAGCGUACACGGUGGAUGCCCUGGCAGUCAGAGGCGAUGAAGGACGUGCUAAUCUGCGAUAAGCGUCGGUAAGGUGAUAUGAACCGUUAUAACCGGCGAUUUCCGAAUGGGGAAACCCAGUGUGUUUCGACACACUAUCAUUAACUGAAUCCAUAGGUUAAUGAGGCGAACCGGGGGAACUGAAACAUCUAAGUACCCCGAGGAAAAGAAAUCAACCGAGAUUCCCCCAGUAGCGGCGAGCGAACGGGGAGCAGCCCAGAGCCUGAAUCAGUGUGUGUGUUAGUGGAAGCGUCUGGAAAGGCGCGCGAUACAGGGUGACAGCCCCGUACACAAAAAUGCACAUAUUGUGAGCUCGAUGAGUAGGGCGGGACACGUGGUAUCCUGUCUGAAUAUGGGGGGACCAUCCUCCAAGGCUAAAUACUCCUGACUGACCGAUAGUGAACCAGUACCGUGAGGGAAAGGCGAAAAGAACCCCGGCGAGGGGAGUGAAAAAGAACCUGAAACCGUGUACGUACAAGCAGUGGGAGCACGCUUCGGCGUGUGACUGCGUACCUUUUGUAUAAUGGGUCAGCGACUUAUAUUCUGUAGCAAGGUUAACCGAAUAGGGGAGCCGAAGGGAAACCGAGUCUUAACUGGGCGUUAAGUUGCAGGGUAUAGACCCGAAACCCGGUGAUCUAGCCAUGGGCAGGUUGAAGGUUGGGUAACACUAACUGGAGGACCGAACCGACUAAUGUUGAAAAAUUAGCGGAUGACUUGUGGCUGGGGGUGAAAGGCCAAUCAAACCGGGAGAUAGCUGGUUCUCCCCGAAAGCUAUUUAGGUAGCGCCUCGUGAAUUCAUCUCCGGGGGUAGAGCACUGUUUCGGCAAGGGGGUCAUCCCGACUUACCAACCCGAUGCAAACUGCGAAUACCGGAGAAUGUUAUCAUGGGAGACACACGGCGGGUGCUAACGUCCGUCGUGAAGAGGGAAACAACCCAGACCGCCAGCUAAGGUCCCAAAGUCAUGGUUAAGUGGGAAACGAUGUGGGAAGGCCCAGACAGCCAGGAUGUUGGCUUAGAAGCAGCCAUCAUUUAAAGAAAGCGUAAUAGCUCACUGGUCGAGUCGGCCUGCGCGGAAGAUGUAACGGGGCUAAACCAUGCACCGAAGCUGCGGCAGCGACGCUGAUGCGUUGUUGGGUAGGGGAGCGUUCUGUAAGCCUGCGAAGGUGUGCUGUGAGGCAUGCUGGAGGUAUCAGAAGUGCGAAUGCUGACAUAAGUAACGAUAAAGCGGGUGAAAAGCCCGCUCGCCGGAAGACCAAGGGUUCCUGUCCAACGUUAAUCGGGGCAGGGUGAGUCGACCCCUAAGGCGAGGCCGAAAGGCGUAGUCGAUGGGAAACAGGUUAAUAUUCCUGUACUUGGUGUUACUGCGAAGGGGGGACGGAGAAGGCUAUGUUGGCCGGGCGACGGUUGUCCCGGUUUAAGCGUGUAGGCUGGUUUUCCAGGCAAAUCCGGAAAAUCAAGGCUGAGGCGUGAUGACGAGGCACUACGGUGCUGAAGCAACAAAUGCCCUGCUUCCAGGAAAAGCCUCUAAGCAUCAGGUAACAUCAAAUCGUACCCCAAACCGACACAGGUGGUCAGGUAGAGAAUACCAAGGCGCUUGAGAGAACUCGGGUGAAGGAACUAGGCAAAAUGGUGCCGUAACUUCGGGAGAAGGCACGCUGAUAUGUAGGUGAGGUCCCUCGCGGAUGGAGCUGAAAUCAGUCGAAGAUACCAGCUGGCUGCAACUGUUUAUUAAAAACACAGCACUGUGCAAACACGAAAGUGGACGUAUACGGUGUGACGCCUGCCCGGUGCCGGAAGGUUAAUUGAUGGGGUUAGCGCAAGCGAAGCUCUUGAUCGAAGCCCCGGUAAACGGCGGCCGUAACUAUAACGGUCCUAAGGUAGCGAAAUUCCUUGUCGGGUAAGUUCCGACCUGCACGAAUGGCGUAAUGAUGGCCAGGCUGUCUCCACCCGAGACUCAGUGAAAUUGAACUCGCUGUGAAGAUGCAGUGUACCCGCGGCAAGACGGAAAGACCCCGUGAACCUUUACUAUAGCUUGACACUGAACAUUGAGCCUUGAUGUGUAGGAUAGGUGGGAGGCUUUGAAGUGUGGACGCCAGUCUGCAUGGAGCCGACCUUGAAAUACCACCCUUUAAUGUUUGAUGUUCUAACGUUGACCCGUAAUCCGGGUUGCGGACAGUGUCUGGUGGGUAGUUUGACUGGGGCGGUCUCCUCCUAAAGAGUAACGGAGGAGCACGAAGGUUGGCUAAUCCUGGUCGGACAUCAGGAGGUUAGUGCAAUGGCAUAAGCCAGCUUGACUGCGAGCGUGACGGCGCGAGCAGGUGCGAAAGCAGGUCAUAGUGAUCCGGUGGUUCUGAAUGGAAGGGCCAUCGCUCAACGGAUAAAAGGUACUCCGGGGAUAACAGGCUGAUACCGCCCAAGAGUUCAUAUCGACGGCGGUGUUUGGCACCUCGAUGUCGGCUCAUCACAUCCUGGGGCUGAAGUAGGUCCCAAGGGUAUGGCUGUUCGCCAUUUAAAGUGGUACGCGAGCUGGGUUUAGAACGUCGUGAGACAGUUCGGUCCCUAUCUGCCGUGGGCGCUGGAGAACUGAGGGGGGCUGCUCCUAGUACGAGAGGACCGGAGUGGACGCAUCACUGGUGUUCGGGUUGUCAUGCCAAUGGCACUGCCCGGUAGCUAAAUGCGGAAGAGAUAAGUGCUGAAAGCAUCUAAGCACGAAACUUGCCCCGAGAUGAGUUCUCCCUGACCCUUUAAGGGUCCUGAAGGAACGUUGAAGACGACGACGUUGAUAGGCCGGGUGUGUAAGCGCAGCGAUGCGUUGAGCUAACCGGUACUAAUGAACCGUGAGGCUUAACCUU